UUUAGUAGAGACAGGGUUUCACCUUGUUGGCCAGAGUGGUCUCCAUCUCUUGACCUGGUGAUCCACCCGCCUCAGCCUCCCAAAAUGCUGGGAUUACAGGUAUGAGCCACCUCGCCCAGCCAGAGAUAUACUUCUUAAAGUCCCUAGAUUAUACUGAUUUGAGAAAGAAAUCACUUAUUUGAUCCCAGAACCUAACCAGAAUUAGGUAUAGGGUUGGUGUCUAAUAAGCAUUGAUUACUUGAUUGAUAGACUGAUUUGAGUUUAUUUCUGAAAGUGUCUGGAAUAAGUGUUGAAAACACAUAAUGUAUUGGAUUGCGUUGCCAGGCGUUAGAGAAUGGAUGAAUGAUGAACAUAAGAUUUCCAAAUUUGCUUUUUAGACAGCUUAAAAUAGCAUGUAACAAAGUAAUGAAGACUUCUAUAAAAUGGUCUUGUAUUUUCAUUCUUUUUCUGUUUUACCAUAGAUAUUUUCUACUGGAUCUCUUAUUUUAGUUUAGGAUUCCCACCCCAUCUCCUAGCUUCCGCCCCUAAAUACAGCUUCUGAAAAUGAUUUUAGACUUCAGUUUGUAUCCAGGAAGUACCCCAAAACUCAUUCAUUCAUUCAUUCAGUUCGAAUUUAUUGAGUCUCAUCUUUGUGCCAGAUGCCAUGCUAGUGGUGAAAAGAUAGGAGAAAAACACAGACAUUGUUCUGUCCUUUCAUGAAGUUGUGUUGAGAUAUUAAUCAGUGUUGAUUAAAGAAUGUUUACUAUAUUGAAGGUACUAUUCUAAAUACUAGAGAAUCAGCAAUAAUAUGUCAUUUUAUCAAUACAUGGCAUUUUAGCAAUCAUUAUAAUAAAGUGGUCCUUAACAGUAAGUGGGUACCCCUGUAUGGCCCUGCUCCUCUUUUAGGAUGCUUAGUGACAACUUGGCAUACCCAUCAACUUAGACAGUCAUGAACUCUGGGAACAGAAGUGAUCACAUAAACAUUUCCAUAGUGUCUCAAUAAUCAAGCUGAACAGCUAAAGAGAGGUGCAUGUUUCCUUCCUGGCCAGCUGAGAACACAAUGCAGCUGUAGUCCUGGAGACUGCACACAUCUUCCAUUUACACAAGAGAACAAGAGAUGCCAUGACAAGUCUAGCUAAAAAAAGUCCAGUUCUCCCAACAUGAAGUUGAGUACCCAAGUCAGUCUCCCCAAGAACAUUGUAUGGUGUGGCAAAUUAGGAAGGAUAAGGAUUUCAUUUGCAAAAAAAAAAGUGUGAAUAAGAAAUUAGUUAUGUCGAUAUGACAAUAACAUUCAUUUGGUUAAUACAUUAACUGUUUGUGGGAAACUGGUUUUUAAAAAUUCUUUAUUUUUAACAUGCAAGUUUUGCUUCCUGAUUUACUUUUAUCUGAGAGUUCAACUCUGCUGGGUAAAAAAAUCACCAUUAUAUUUAAAGAGCUAAGAUUAUUAUAAAGGGAAGAAAACAUUUUUAUUAAAAUAUACAAUUGUGUUGGUAAGCCAAUCGUGUAGUUUAAUAAAAAUGAAGGAAAAAAGUGUGAUAAGAAUGUAGAAAUGGAACACAUGAAUUUGAGUCCAUCUUGGCUUCUUACUAUGUAUGUUUACUUUGGGCCAAGUUAUUUAAGUUCCCUGAUGCUACGUUAGAUUCAUAUCACAGAAUUUAGAAUAUGAAAGCAUUGAGUUGUUUAUCCCCAAAUUCAUUUUAUUUCAUCUUUCAUAAAUUAGUUAACAAUGUAUUAAAUAGACUACAUAGUCAUAAAAACAUCCACCCAUUUUUAACUUCAUAGAGGAAAAUUCGAGUGGGAAGGGGCAUGGGUGAGAAUUGUUUCAUGGUGUGUUGCAGUCUCAAAUCUAAAUAUUCACCUCCCACAAAUUUCUAUAAUUGUGUUUACAUAUUGGGAUGUAAUAUCUUUACAAUGUUUUAGGAGAACAGAUUAAAUAUUAUAAAUCAUAUAAUUGCUUCAAAGGGAGUUGUACUUUCCAGCAUCAAAACUGGGAAGAUUUCUUAAGAAUUCAGCAUCUUGAUGAGGCUACUAAUUACACAGAUAUAUGUAGUUCCACAUUCAAAUUAUAAGUAUAUGUUUAGGAAAUAAUGGCACCAUGAUCUUUACAUGCUUGGACUCAGUAAAGGCAAAGAAAGCUUGACAAAUAUGAUUCCACAGCAAAAGUCCACUUAAUGGAUUAGUAGUUGAAGAAAAUUCCGUGGACAGAAUAUGCUUAGGGUUUUUUAAUAACAGUAUUUGUUACAGUGCCUCACUAGUUCUUUUUAGGAAAUCCUUCCCUCUUGCUUCAGUCAAAUAUAUUUAAAGCUGAUUAAAGGAUGGGAUAGUAAAAUAUGAGAAUGGCUGAGUUAAAAGAAGGCACUGAAACCAGUCUUAUUUACAUCUAUAGCAGUUACUUGUUAAAUUAGCAGACGAUAACUAAGAUGCUACAACACCGGAGACGCCAAAUAAUUGCCAUUAGGAGACCAGGAGAGUUAGAAAAAAAAUGGUAAAAAAAAAAAAAAAAAGCAAAAA